rnacentral:misc_RNA from 1 species
GUAAAUUGCAUAAUUACAUUAAGAACAAACAACAGAAUUAACAGCUGAAAUAGUUACCAAUCUAUAGAACCAAAAAAAAGAAACACAUUUACAACUGCUUUUUUUCUCUUCAUAAUUAUGUAAAAAAAAAAAUUAAAUUAGGUGCUAUUUUUUCUUCUUUGUUCAAGCAGAAAAAACUCCAUUAAUGGCAGCAAGACCCACUUCAGAUUUAGGCUCAAAAUCCCCUGUUUUCAUCUCAAUAUUUUUGGUUCCCCCAAAACUCAUCUUGAUUUUUGAAGAAUACCCAUCAAAUUUUUGAGCUAAAAUUUCUGAGAAAUAUGAAAAUAAUUGAAUCUCUUCUUCAGAUCCGAAUUUUCUUGAAUUUUUUACUCUCCUUUCAUACUCUU